UGAAGUGUCAAGAGAUGCACAAACAAUUCAAUGUACUCCUUGCAACCAGCCACCAUCGAACGUUGAAAUUAAACGUAUUGAUGACUCUGAAAAUAUCCCUCCACUAAUUAAUAUUGAGAUUGUAAACGAUGUGCCUGUCCACAUAUCUCUGGUAUCAUCAGGUGAUAUCCUUGUGGAUACAGCACCAGUCAGGGACCUAGUCGAUGAUCAACCAAGAUGCUCACAUGACAAUGCUGAAAAGCCAGCGGUAUCGAAACGAGUCCUGAGUGACAAUGUAUCCUAUGAUGAAAUCACCGAAGUGAUUUAUCCAUCAACAUCAGCAGAAACGCCCAAAAGAAGAGCAGCGGCAAGAGAAACGAGUCCACAGAAAGAAGGAGGGACUUCGAAUCACACACUGCUGAAUAAAAAAACAUGGGGGCUGAUGGCCAACAGAGAUAUUUCACCCCUUAAGGCCCAUA